GCCAGGGCUGUGUUUCUUCUGCUACUAUGUAGCUACAGUCUCUUGGGAAAACAACUGUCCAAUUUACUGAAGAGGAUGAUACUCUCAGGUCUGAGGCUGAGUCCAUCAAACCUCCUGUAUCUCUGCGGGAAAAUCGGGGAAACUGAGGCAAGGAGAUCUCUCUCUCUCUCUCUCUCUCUCUCUCUCUCUCUCUCUGUGUGUGUGUGUGUGUGUGUGUGUGUGUGUGUGUGUGUGUGUGUGUGUAUUACUUUUGAGUAUCUGUGACCAAACUCUGGGAUGGAAAAACUUUAGGUUGAAAUGAUCUGUUUUGGUCCCUGGAUUGAGAGGGUUCUGUUCACAGUUUCAUUCCCUCAGCUCCUUUGGUUCUGGGCUGGCCCGUGGUGAGACAGAAAGUCACGGUGGAUGUAACACGACAGAAAAUGAAAGCGAUAAUAGGAGACACUCACCCAAUGGCAGGGACAGAUGGCAGAGAAAAGAAUAUGCAAAGGAAGGAAAUGGUGACAUUUCCUGUCACCCAGGCUGAUGGGAAACUCACUAUGUAGCCCAACCUGGCCUUAAACUCAAAAAGCAAUCUCCCUGCCUCAGCCACCCUAGCACCAGAAUCAAGUCCUGAGCUCCCAGGCCCAGCUCACCAAGUCAGUAUUGCUGGAAGGACACUUGCAAAAGGACAGUCAGCAAGGGGAAGGGGGAGGUGUCUGUCGGAAGAGCCAGGAUCUCCUCUGAGAUUAGGAGACACUUGAUGCCCUGUGCCCAUCACAGCCAGGUGAGUCUCCCUCCGCCACUUCCUGCCGCACCGCUCUUAUGUAAACACCCCAGCAACACUGUUUUAAAACGGCUGCGGCGGCGGCGGCGGCGGCGGCGCGUCUGACACUCAAGCUUGAACUUGGAGGUGCAAGGAGCUGAGCAACUGAGUACAAACUCGGAAAAUGUGUGACGCGCGGACGCCGACGACGAUGGCAGGGCUUACAGCCCUGUCAGCAUUUCCCAACUGUGCAAGGAAAUGAGGACUCAGCAACAGAAGCACACCUGCCGCCCCUCAUCGCGGAGAAGACGCAAUAACCUAAGAUGAAGAAACCCAAACUCUGAGAAGGCUGCAACACAGCACCCCUAGAGACACCACCCCUUUUGGUGUCUUGACCAGUCACAGAUGGAGAGUCCCACGGACUGAGACGACAGGGGUCACCUAAGACCAUCAGAAAACACAGGGUUCCAGGUCUAUUCUGUCUGCCACAGACAAAUGGUACCGUUCACACACCGGCCACACUGUCUACGUGCUCGCCUCUAACCGGAAGGGAUCUCAUCUCAUGAUGCUGGACUUCAUCUUCAAAGCAAGGGGGCUUACAGUAAGCCCGAAUGAUUUCUACCCAUCCCUGAGGACUCCUGCCCCACCAAGCCAUCAAAUUGACUUCCCCCAGUUCUCGUAAGAGGAGGUACUCGAACAUCCCUGAGCCAGGCAGGUACCCCAAAUCCCUAUCCCUAUUAGAGCAACGUAGACCACAGGCCAAGUGUCAGCUACCAAGACAAGACACAGCUCUUUCUCCAAAACAGUAAGAGUUUGGUUUUUUUGUGCCAAAUAUGAGUGACCAGAACUCAGGAACACAGAUUCAGGUUGCUUCUGAACCAGUUUUCAAAGGGCUCGCGCUUUCAUGGUCUUUUUAUUGUAAUAGAACACAGAAAGUUAUAUGUUAACACAUUUUUUUUCCUAGCAACAUUGGUGAGAUCAUCAAGCAAGCAGGAUACACACAGCAAAGCAGAGAAAUGUCUUAUGUAGCUCUCAGCAACUGUCUAACAAUGUUCUUAGUCUUUAAGUUGGUAGAAGCUAGGGAAUCUAUGUUAAUAUAGUUCAUAAGCUGUACCUUAUAGAUGCAGGAUGUUAGGGCAGGCAUGGAGGUAAACUGUAAAUGGCUACGAAGGUGGUUAAAGAUAGCCUAAGAUAAUCGUGACCUUGGAUCUGCGCCAUUCCAACUCUCUGUCAGAAGGUCCUGAUCUCGUGUGAGGAGACUUCCGACACAGACGGCUGCUUUUAGGGAGCGUCGGUUCACACACAUAUCCACCCAUGCACAGUUGUAGCCUACACGGUGCAGAUGGAGCAUGAGGCCCUAAGUGAGCCUAUACUAAGAUGGACAGGGAUGGACCAAGAUGGUGGGGAGGGGCAGUCACAUGCAGCCUCUAAGAACCUCCAGUCUGGCACACAGAGGUGAGAGUCUGUUUUCCUUUGCCAGAAAGACAAACGCCAGGGUCCCCAGGGGAAGACCUGAGAGAGAGAAGCUCACAAUGGACAAAUAAGAGUUCUAAGGAAGCCCCAAAGGCUGGACAUCCUCUCCUGCACGUGUGCCUCACGUCCAAGCAGCGUCAUUUUGCAUCAGCAGCUGACCCCCUCCAGGAGCGGGUGCUGACAUCUAAUUGGCACUGAAAACGAUGAUCAUGACAACCACUUGAUGUUGCUGGAGGCUUUUGCCAUUUAUCUGGGAGUCUGGCUCACAUCACAUCUUCUUAAGAGCAGAGGACUCAUUAAUUACUCAUGGAGCACAAGUCAUUAUUGUCCUUAAUUGUCACAUUGAGGUUGCUGUUGGAAGUGUCGUUCUCUGUCAACAUGAAAUAGAUUUUUCCCUUCUGUAAUUUGCUUGGCACCAUUUUCCCUGUUCGUGGGUGGAAGCAUCGGCCAACAUUGCAGGACCCACCUGCCUGAUAAUUUAAGAGUUCAUCUUCCUGUUUGCCUUUGAUGUACCCUGGGAACAUGGCUCCCUAGUUUCCCUGGGAACACAUACCCUCACCUGGAUUCCAGCCUCACACCAUGGAGACGUGGCUCCAUGGCAGACCAAGGAAUUCUUCCUAUGAUCUGAGUGGGAUUGCAGGCUGCCUGUUGGAUAGAUGUCUCCAGAGCAUCCUUACAUUUCCGUCACUUGCUUUGCAGACAUGAGGUCCUGAGUUUGCCCCUAGGAGCCAUGGAAAAAGCUGGGUCUGAUAACGGGUUUAUAAUCACAGCCCUGAGGAGGCAGAGACAGGGGGACCCCCAGGUCCUGGACACCCAGCUGAACUUAACCAGUGAAUUCCAGGCCAGUGAGGGACCAUUUCCAAAAAAAAAAAAGUGAUGCUAGGCAUGGUGGCAA